GGAGAGGUGGCCGAGUGGUCGAAGGCGCUCCCCUGCUAAGGGAGUAAACGUCAAAAGCGUUUCGAGGGUUCGAAUCCCUUCCUCUCCGCCA
rnacentral:tRNA from 1 species